rnacentral:tRNA from 1 species
GGGGAAAUAGUCUAGCUUGGUUUAGGAUCUAGGCUUCGGGAGCCUAUGACCCGGGUUCAAAUCCCGGUUUCCCCA